rnacentral:lncRNA from 10 species
CACCGUCCCACGCGGACACAGGAACUAUGGCACCGUCCCACGCGGACACAGGAACUAUGGCACCGUCCCACGCGGACACAGGAACUAUUGCACCGUCCCACACGGACACAGGAACUGAAAGGCUGGAGCUGGGGGUCCGUGAAAAGUGAUGGCAGAGGUGGCAGGAGGUGGCGGCAGCCACCGGGAUCCCCAGGCUGGAGGGCAGAAGCCCCUCGCACAUCCGGAUGGCUAAUCCUCCUCCUGAGGAAAUUCACUCUCUCUAUUUUGCGACUGUUCCCAGUCACCUGAGCAUCCUGAGCAUCGAUGGUGAGAAGCUACAGGAGGCCGAGCGGCUGUUGACGCCCAGGACCGUGGGCAGCACCUUGCAGGGGGAAACCGGCUUCCUCCGGUCUCCCAGAAGAAGAGUUCAGGCCUUCUCUCCUCUCUCCAGGCCUCCAGCUCUUCCCCAUCCCCGCUCUCAGCGGAGGACUGGCUUCUGUUUUCACUGAAGAAAUCACAGCCUCCUGAGAGGACUUCCCCAGACGCAGCCCUCCCCUGUACCCGCUCCUCCUCCACAUCCCCACCUUCCAUGCCCAGGGCAGCAAACCACCCCCCAUCUGCUUGGGGAUGUCAACAGGCUCCCUGUUUCCUGAAUCUUCAGUUUCUCCUUCCUGCUUGAUUCCCAUCCACAAACUUACCAUUAUGUUUCUUGUCUUUAAAAGAAAAAUAAAAUUUUUGCUUUUUAUCCAA